GCUCCUCUCCUCCGCGUCUCUCUCUAUCUCCAGUCUUUUCCCCCUUCUCUCUCUUUCCAUUCGUCUACCUAUUCCAAAUAGAGGCGGGGUGACGCCUUCACAGCCCUGGAGGACGCGGUCUCCACCACUCGUGCGCGCACGCAACUCCAACACCCUCUUCCCCUCAAUGCCCCAUCGCGUCGUGCACGCCACUCCUGCCCCACGUGCCUCCCUGGGUUCGAAACCCUAGCUCCGUGCUCCAGCGGCUCUGAACCCCUUCAGUCCGGUGCACAGCGGAUUAGGCUCCAAUGGGGAAGUUUCCAGCGAAGUGGAUCAAGACCACGCUCUUCUGGCGGAAGAAGUCAUUGUCGAGGUCCGGCUCCAGCAAGGCCAAGGAUUUAUUGCUAUGCAAACUUAUUUAUGUUACGGGGUGGUACUACUAUUGGAUGACUCUUUGCUUUAAAAAGUGACAAGGAAGUGGCACCUAGAAAACAAUCAGUAUGUAAAAUGAAAAGCUCUGCUAUGUACUUGUAUCAUUCUCCAAAAUACAUGUAUUGCUACAUGGAAGAUGACAUUAUAUUUGCCUGAUUUCUUUGAAAUUCCCAUGAGUUGUACUUCUAUUAUUUCUGUUUCCUCAUGUUUUAUGCUGAAUCUCAAUGCUUACUCAGUAUCUUAUACUGCCCGUGCUAAAAGGAAAUGUUUGACAUAUGCUUACUCAGUUUGUAAUAAUAUUCCAUAUAUUCAUAAUCAUAUACUGUUUUUAGAUAAUGGAGACAAAACGACCUCAUCCCUCUACUACUCGUCCUUGAAAUAUGUUGCUGUCUGUUUUCUUAUAAACAAAUUAAAAGGAAAUGUUUGAUUUCAGUUAGCAGGAGUCCAAUGUGCUGGGAAUUUAGAAACGGUUACUUUAUUCUGGAGGUAAUACUUGGAGCUGUUAUUUUUUCCCUCAUUCAAAUUCAGUAUGUUUGAUUUUCAAGAUGGCCUGCUUCUUGUAAUCAAUAACCUUAGGUUUGUUGAAGGAAACCCUCUUGCCAUUUUAACAUCAAAUGUCUAUGUGCACAAGCGUCAAGGUUCUUAACUGUAACGUAGAUGAGGAAACUGCUGCUGGGCAGCUAACCGUACUUUGCCAAAGCUAUGAGCAUAAGAAUUGGUGAUGUAGCAAUAAUGUAGAAAGGAAAAGCUGAUGUCAUCAGUGAUGGUAAAACAGUUCCCGGCCACCCUCAACGACAGCACAGGAGCUGAAUCCUGGGAUAUUGAUGGAGCGUCUGACUUCAUAUUUUCGAGGUGACUUGGAGGCAGUUUCAUCUAUAGCAAACUCUGGUCUAGAUGUAUAUGCUCACAACAUUGAAACCGUGACCAACCAUCACUUUCUGACAAGAAUCAAGAUAAGUGUAGCUCUGAAUAUGUAGUCUUUGAUCUCAUUGAACUCUAAGAUCUUCUGUGGUUCGUUGCUUCAGUUUUGAUCUCAUCUGAAUAUGUAGUCUUUGAUCCACUGGCGGCCUUGUUACGCGGGCUCACCGGCGUCCACCUUGAUCUUCAUCGACUGGCACCAUCGGAUCCACCAAAGCUCGCGGCUCCUGAGAUCAAAGCGCAUACAGCGGCUCUGCCGAUAACAGAUCGAGCCAUGUUGGCCGUGGAACAUGCCACAUCGAACUGCUACUGCUACCCUCCUUUGCUUUCAUUGGGAGCUAGCUUAUUGUGUUUAAGGCACUAAUUUUGUGUGCUUGGGGAAUGAGGACCCUAGGUGGAGGUGUCCAUGGCUAGGUCGCUGGAUACCAUGAUGUGUGAAUUUCCAUCAAAUUCAGUCAAAACACUUCUGAGUUAUGCGACCAUAUUUGUGUUCUUUGAUAAAUUUCACAAGAUUUCAUAACUACACAAUUACUUUUCAUAGGCAUAGGUUUCAUAACUACACAAAUACUAAUCACAGGCAUGUUUAGUUGAGCAAUAGAUUAACAUAGCGUGACUACAAAUGUUCUUUUGUUCAGAUUACGUUGAAAUAACAAUUUAGGUUGUAGUUCUAAUCCCCUAAUAAGUAGAAUGUAGUUUGUGUUUCUAGGGCACCUAGCAGGCAAGCUUAUGUGAUCUAAUUUAAACAGGUGUACCCAGUUUCUGUGAUAAGUGGAGAGAUGUAAGUGUCUGCUCUAUAGAAACCAUUUCCUCUUGUACGACAUCUGUGGUUGCUUCUCAAGGGAUACAAUUGUAUGGGAUGCUCCUGCUGAAAUAAAGAUCAUGCCUAUAGCCCAGUUACCCCAUUGUCGUGAGUAGUCCAUGAUACCUAAUCACCAAAAGAGGAAGGCUACAUUGCUUUUGCCCCAACUGGUUAAAUAUAGCUAUUUAUGUGCUCAACUCGUGAUCGGCUCUGAUGUUCAGCGUCAAGGGAACUUGCCACCAUGAUGAUUGGCUGUCUUUUGCAAACCUCAUGUCUGCGAGCCGUGUAGUUUGCCGUUCUAUGGUACGAGCUAAGAUGUUCGAUAGUCAUUAAUUCUUGAUUGUUGUGUAUGGUUCAGUAGUACUAUAAAUGUAAUGAAGGGUUGUGUAAUUUAUAGCUGAACAUAACCAUGGGAGCUACAGUGGACAUACAAAUUAUGCUAUAUGUCGAUGCUUCAUAAUUUUGUGUCAUGUUUCUAUUGGUAUAA